GACGAACGCUGGCGGCGUGCUUAACACAUGCAAGUCGAACGGAAAGGCCCUGCUUUGGUGGGGUGCUCGAGUGGCGAACGGGUGAGUAACACGUGAGUAACCUGCCCUUGACUUUGGGAUAACGUCAGGAAACUGGGGCUAAUACCGGAUAGGAGCUCCUGCUGCAUGGUGGGGGUUGGAAAGUUUCGGCGGUUGGGGAUGGACUCGCGGCUUGUCAGCUUGUGGGUGGGGUAGUGGCUUACCAAGGCUUUGACGGGUAGCCGGCCUGAGAGGGUGACCGGCCACAUUGGGACUGAGAUACGGCCCAGACUCCUACGGGAGGCAGCAGUGGGGAAUAUUGCACGAUGGGCGGAAGCCUGAUGCAGCAACGCCGCGUGCGGGAUGACGGCCUUCGGGUUGUAAACCGCUUUCGCCUGUGACGAAGCGUGAGUGACGGUAAUGGGUAAAGAAGCACCGGCUAACUACGUG
rnacentral:rRNA from 1 species